CCUACGGGUGGCAGCAGUGGGGGAUAUUGCACAAUGGGGGCAACCCUGAUGCAGCGACGCCGCGUGAGCGAUGGAGUACUUCGGUAUGUAAAGCUCUGUCAGCAGGGAAGAGAAUGACGGUACCUGACCAAGAAGCCCCUGCGAAAUACGUGCCAGCAGCCGCGGUAAUACGUAUGGGGCAAGCGUUAUCCGGAUUUACUGGGGGUAAAGGGAUCGGAGGGGGCAGGGCAAGCCUGAUGAGAAAGCCCGCGGCUCAACCCCGGGACUGCAUUGGGAACUGCCCCGCGCGAGUGCCUGAGGGGCAGGCGGAAUUCCUAGGGUAGCGGUGAAAUGCGUAGAUAUUAGGAGGAACACCAGUGGCGAAGGCGGGCUGCUGGACGGUGUACUGACGCUGAGGCUCGAAAGCGUGGGGAGCAAACAGGAUUAGAUACCCGAGUAGUC
rnacentral:rRNA from 1 species